rnacentral:rRNA from 1 species
AUUGGGCGUAAGCGCGCGCAGGUGGUUUCUUAAGUCUGAUGUGAAAGCCCACGGCUCAACCGUGGAGGGUCAUUGGAAACUGGGAGACUUGAGUGCAGAAGAGGAAAGUGGAAUUCCAUGUGUAGCGGUGAAAUGCGUAGAGAUAUGGAGGAACACCAGUGGCGAAGGCGACUUUCUGGUCUGUAACUGACACUGAGGCGCGAAAGCGUGGGGAGCAAACAGGAUUAGAUACCCUGGUAGUCCACGCCGUAAACGAUGAGUGCUAAGUGUUAGAGGGUUUCCGCCCUUUAGUGCUGAAGUUAACGCAUUAAGCACUCCGCCUGGGGAGUACGGCCGCAAGGCUGAAACUCAAAGGAAUUGACGGGGGCCCGCACAAGCGGUGGAGCAUGUGGUUUAAUUCAAAGCAACGCGAAGACCCUUACCAGGUCUUGACAUCCGCUGAGGACCCUAGAGAUAGGCCUUCUCCUUCGAGAGCACAGUGACAGGUGGUGCAUGGUUGUCGUCAGCUCUUGUCGUGAGAUGUU